CAAUCCUUUGACGUUUCAUUAAUGAGAACGCAAAAAGUAGGUACAACUGAAAGCAAGAAGUAGGUAUAACUGCAGCAACAUCCUGAUUACCCAGAAUUUUUCCAACUUUUCUCAUCCAAUCUCUUCAAGCAACCCCCUUGCAUUAUUGUUCCCAUAUGCUCGACACCCAAGCACAUAGAGACAUACGCAUCACAUAAACACACAGAGGGACACACAUACACAC
rnacentral:lncRNA from 1 species